AAGAGGAGGAGCUCAAAGUACUUAUUCAGGUAAAAAAGAGAAGAUACUUUUGUCCUGGCACAGUCUUGGAGUUUUCACAAACUCUCCUCUGCUCCUGCUCAUCACCUCAGUUGACUGUCUGUUGUGUUCAAGAUGGGACAGCUCACCCUUGUCACUUUCCUAGCAGUGCUGUGCUCCGUUUUUAUGGUAACUGAAGCAAAUCCAUUCGUUUACAACUAUGAAAGACUAAGAAUCGGAGGCCUCGUCAUUACCGGAUUGUUAACAGUUGGAGGAAUUGUUCUUGUCACCUAUAAGAAAUGUACCAAGGGACGCGGGUG